CCUACGGGUGGCAGCAGUGGGGCAUAUUGCACAAUGGGGGAAACCCUGAUGCAGCGACGCCGCGUGAAGGAAGAAGUAUUUCUGUAUGUAAACUUCUAUCAGCAGGGAAGAAAAUGACGGUACCUGACUAAGAAGCACCGGCUAACUACGUGCCAGCAGCCGCUGUAAUACGUAGGGGGCAAGCGUUAUCCGGAUUUAAUGGGUGUUAAGGGAGCGUAGGCGGUGCAGCAAGUCAGAAGUGAAAGCACGGGGGUCAACUCCGGGACUGCUGUUGAAACUGUUGAACUAGAUUGCAGGAGAGGUAAGUGGAAUUCCUAGUGUAGCGGUGAAAUGCGUAGAUAUUAGGAGGAACACCAGUGGCGAAGGCGGCUUACUGGACUGUAAAUGACGCUGAGGCUCGAAAGCGUGGGGAGCAAACAGGAUUAGAUACCCGGGUAGUC
rnacentral:rRNA from 1 species